UGUGUGUGUGUGUGUGUGUGUGUGAGUAAUCAGAAGUCAUGCGCGGCGUUUCAAAACCACAACGUGAUUGCGGCAAUCAAGAGCGUUCAACACAAUGGCCUUUUUUUUUCACCUCUUUUUUUUUCUCCCCCAAAUACGUUUUUCUUGAAAUGUUGGCAGCCUGUUUUUUUUUAAUUUUUUUUUUUACGUUCUACGUUUUAAUGAUCUUUCUGAUUUCCCAGGAGCCCUGAAUGCAGCGUGAGUCAUCAUUUUCCACGAAGCGGGAAGUAGCUUGCUCGCAAACAAACAGCAGAUAAACCGACACACAGAGGAGCCGCCGUGACAGGAAGUAGACCACCACCAUGCUUCACCAGAGAUGAGACGACGGCGGUUUAAUGUCUUCAUGACGUCAAUUUGACAUAAUGCGGCUCGCUCGCAAAACCAUCCAAAAGCGGAAAGACCAGAAAGCCGGAGAAGGUGGAGUACUGCCAUCCGCCCACCAGGUUGCCCUUUUCCAGCUUCAGGUAGAUCUUGUCCUCCUUUUCCAGGUAGAGCAGGACUCCGUUGGUGGCCGCCUCGCGGGUCACGUCCUUGUCGCCCGCGAAGGCCGAGAUGACCGGCCUCCCGUUCAGCAUCAGGUUCACCUGGCCAACGCAAGACCACACGGAUCAGGUCACGCAGGUGAAGCUAUUACAGCUUCAACUCUUCUGGGAGGGCUGUCCACAAGGUUGCGGAGUGUGUUUAUAGGAAUUUCAAAAGCGCAUUGGUGAGGUCACACACUGAUGUUGGUGAAGAAGGCCUGGCUCUCAGUCUCUGUUCUAAUUCAUCCCCAAGGUGUUCUAUUUGGGUUCAGGUCAGGACUCUGUGCAGGCCAGUCAAUGUCAUCCACACCGGACUCUGUCAUCCAUGUCUUUAUGGACCUUGCUUUUGUGCACUGGUGCACAGUCACGUUGGAAGAAGAAGGGGCCCGCUCCAAACUGUUCCCACAAGGAAUUGUCCACAAUGUUUUGGUAUCCUGGAGCAUUCAAAGGUCCUUUCACUGGAACUAAGGGGCCAAGCCCAACUCCUGAAAAACAACCCCACACCAUAAUUCCUCCUCCAUCAAAUUUCACACUCAUCCGAAAUGUCACGUUCUCUUGGCGAACCUCCAAACCCAGACUGGUCCAUCAGGUUGCCAGAUGGAAAAGCGUGAUUCAUCAGUCCAGAGAAGGCGUCUCCACUGCUCUAGAGUCCAGUGGCGACGUGCUUUCCACCACUGCAUCCCCCGCUCUGCAUUGGACUUGGUGAUGUAUGGCUUAGAUGCAGCUGCUCGGCCAUGGAAACCCAUUCCACGAAGCUCUCUGCGUACUGCACGUGGGCUAACAGGAAGAUCAAAUGAAGUUUGGAGCGCCGUAGCAACUG